GACGAACGCUGGCGGCGUGCCUAACACAUGCAAGUCGAGCGGAGUCGAUCGACGGAAGCCUUCGGGCGGAAGAUGGUUGACUUAGCGGCGGAUGGGUGAGUAACGCGUGGGCAACCUGCCUCGAAGACCGGGAUAACAGCCCGAAAGGGCUGCUAAUACCGGAUGUGGUCAAGGAUCCGCAUGGAUUUUUGAUUAAAGGGGAAACCCGUUUCGAGAUGGGCCCGCGUCCUAUCAGCUAGUUGGUGAGGUAAAAGCUCACCAAGGCGACGACGGGUAGCCGGCCUGAGAGGGUGACCGGCCACACUGGAACUGAGACACGGUCCAGACUCCUACGGGGGGCAGCAGUGGGGAAUCUUCCACAAUGGGCGAAAGCCUGAUGGAGCGACGCCGCGUGAGCGAAGAAGGCCUUCGGGUUGUAAAGCUCUGUCUGGAGGGACGAAGGAAGUGACGGUACCUCCGGAGGAACGCCACGGCUAACUACGUGCCAGCACGCCGCGGUAAUAGUACUCUAU
rnacentral:rRNA from 1 species